rnacentral:rRNA from 1 species
GACGAACGCUGGCGGCGUGCUUAACACAUGCAAGUCGAACGAAGGGCGAUGGAAGCUUGCUUCUAUCAAUCUUAGUGGCGAACGGGUGAGUAACGCGUAAUCAACCUGCCCUUCAGAGGGGGACAACAGUUGGAAACGACUGCUAAUACCGCAUACGAUCUAAACUCGGCAUCGAGGAUAGAUGAAAGGUGGCCUCUACAUGUAAGCUAUCACUGAAGGAGGGGAUUGCGUCUGAUUAGCUAGUUGGAGGGGUAACGGCCCACCAAGGCGAUGAUCAGUAGCCGGUCUGAGAGGAUGAACGGCCACAUUGGGACUGAGACACGGCCCAGACUCCUACGGGAGGCAGCAGUGGGGAAUCUUCCGCAAUGGACGAAAGUCUGACGGAGCAACGCCGCGUGAGCGAUGACGGCCUUCGGGUUGUAAAGCUCUGUUAAUCGGGACGAAAGGCCUUCUUGCGAAUAGUGAGAAGGAUUGACGGUACCGGAAUAGAAAGCCACGGCUAACUACGUG